AUGUAUGUGCUGCUUGGUUCUGGAAGUUCUUUACGACAAAAAGUUCAUCUAAUAGCACUUCCAUGCCAACGGUAUCAGUCUGCAGACUUGCAGCCGGUGUCCUAUGGGUUGCUAGCACCUGUGAGAACUGCAUUUCAAGGCACCUUUCAGGAAGCGACUGCGAGUCUGCAGACCUAUGCCUCUCCCAAUAUCCUACUGUUGCUCCUGACCUGUGCAGCCCUCUGCAUGUUUAGUUAACCCCAUCUACUGUAGCGAAGAAACCACAAACUGGGAAGUCGGACAGGAAUCACGGUAUAUGCCUGUCUUAACUGUGUUCACUUUUUGUUUUGAGCAUGCCUUUUAUUUUGAUGUGGCUUUAUUUAAUGAUAAUCAACAUGUCUGUUUUCUGGGUCUGUGACUGCAGUGUCUGAGAUGGUAGGACUAUGUUCCUUCACCGGGGAAAUGGAGGACGGGUCAGAGAUUGGUUGUUGUUGAUCAGAUCCUAACUUGAGAUGUGUUGUGCGCUAAGUUACUCAACUCUUGUGAAUGUUCUCUACUGACAUAAGUGCAUGGAUUUUUGAAAAGGUUUACUUUACACUUGACUCAAGUUAGUGUUGUCCUUUUAGAAUUAUGUUUGUGUGUUGUCCUCUUGUCUGCAGACCUCGUCAUGUUUUUAACCACACAGGGUCCACAAAUAGUGCUGAUAUAUACUGUCGCCUACAUGUGCGCUAUAAUGUUAAAAAGGAAUCAUAAACACUCCGUAACGCAAGUCUGUUUCCCUGUUGAGUUUCAUUCUGAAAUCAACACAAGACCACUGUAAAAAAAAAAAAGCUUGUGAAAAGCAACAACACUCAGCUUGACUCAAUACUGGUCUGCUUCUUUAAAAUGUGUAUAAAUGCACUCCAUUAUUUCUUCUCUGGCAUUUGUAGCAUAUGUGUAUAUGUACAUUUCAAAAUCAAAUGUAAUAUCUCUGCUUGAACUGUCAAAUGUGAAUGACUGUACAUAGGGGGAGUUUUUUUUUUCUAAACAUUGCUCUAACGUCAAGUAGUCUUUUUGUUUAACUGUGAAACGAGCAGACUUUUGAAUACUGUACACAAGUGCUUUGAAAGAAGAUUAAAGUCUAUUACCCUGUCCUGUUUAUUGUUUUAAAAAAACGUUAUAUAUAUAUUCCCCUCUGAAUAUUACCAGUAUGUUUAAUUACUCUGAGCCAGAAGUAUUUCCCUGUUAACCACUGCUCUACCACAAGGGUACCAGGAGAUGGCGCCAAACAUGAUAAAAUGAAAAGCCAAGCAUUGUUGCGUUUGUACAGGUAACUGCCAAAAUAAAAACACUAUAUCCCUCAUUUACUCAAAGUGUGGCUCAGUUGGAAGAACUUGGCUCUUGCAGUGCCAGGGUUGGGUGUUCUAUUCCCACGGGUGACCAGUAUGAGAAAUGGAUGCGCUCUGGAGAAGAGCGUCGGUUAAAUGUAAGGCUGUUCCUGAGACAUUUUCCACCACCAUCAACAAAGUGCACUGAAGCUGUUCUGCCUGGUGGUGGCCCAACACCCUAUUAACACACUGUUGGCGUUACCUUUAUUUUGGCAGUUACUUUUAUUUAGUUACUCCGAAUAAGUGGAUGGUGCUCAUUUGAAUGAACAUACCAUCAGGUGAGAUUGUGUACAUGCUCCCUCUCCCUUAACGCAAAGACGAAGGCAGUUUAGAAAUAUGCAUCUUAUUCCAGGGCUAUAGACCUCUUCAGAAUGACUCUGGGAGGGAGGCUAUACACCACAACAUUAUGGAAAUGCACCCAAUAUUUUCCAACAAUCAUUUUGAGAGCAGCCAGGCAGAUCAUGGCUUCAGCUCGUCUUAAUGUGAGCAGCAGUUGCAGAGUGAAAUAAUUAGAGCAUUGCUCCAGCUCUGUCUAAUUCAAUUAACUCCACAUCCCUUCAGCUAUUUCCUACCACAUUUACACGUUGAUUAUGGAUUCAAUAUCUGCUAGUCGACUUGUUUCCAAUUUACACAAAGGUCAACGUUCAAUUACCACUUCCGACUGUAUCAAUCUUGGGAGUGGGAGAUGCCAGAAGUCUUCCCCGUGUAAGUAAACAGACAAACACUCAAGCCUACGUUACAAGUGUGCCUAUGUCAAACAUGUUAUAUAUACACACACAAAGGUGCUUUAGUAUAAUAACACUACAAUGUACUGCAAUACCAUACAAAUGCACUGAUAUAAAAGACACCAGUUUGAUGAAAGUCUGUAUUGAAGUACUGAAAAAGCACACCAAAGCUGAAGUGCACAUGGGAUAUUCUAGUGACACUUCUGCUGCACUUCAUACUAUUUGCAUACUAGUAGCUCUUCAUGUCGCUACAUUGUAAGUGUAUAUAAGACAUCUCAAAUGAUGUCUUACAACUACACCUAGUAUACUUUAAGUGGGGUCAUUUUAGCACAUAGACGUACAAUUAGUUGAUUAUAUAGUACCAUAAAGAACUUACAUUUGUUUAGCACAAGUAAAGUUGGUCCAAAAUAACAAAACAAAAAACAUUUUCUCCUUAUUGCAGCCCUCAAGUGACAGCGUGGUCCUGGGGAACAUCCGUGAGACCCGUCCUGAAAAGAAAAUGGUAAAACUCUUCAAUGUGAGGCUGUAUAAGCAUAUAAAUGAAAUGAGUGAAAAACGCAGAUAUUGGCUUGGGACUGAUAUUGAAAAAUGUUUUGUUCCCCAACCGUGAUCCCAGGAAACUAGUAUAACUGUCUCUGGAAAGCCAUGGGUGGGGUUGGUAUUAGACUUUGACAACCAGUAGUGAAGUAAUAUAAUCAAAUGUAUAGUAGUUGUAGUGGUGAUGUAGACAACCUAUACAUAUCAGUCAGAGGAUCUACCUUGUGGGUCCAGUUGAUUUGGUUUCCCAGUUGAGGGUUUUUCCCCAAAAAUACAAAAAUAAAAAACCCAACUCAAAAAGUUGCCUGGGCACUUGAUUUUAAAGUCCCAGGAACAUCUGAGGAGGCACAAUAUGAAAGAGUGGGUCAACAACCUAAAUAAGGCUGGUGAAGCAUAACAAAUUUUUUUUUUUAAAACAUCCCUUAACAUAUUACAUUUUAUUAUCAUUAACUUUAACAGUUAGAGACUGUAAUGUAUAAAAACUGGAUUUGAAGCAAUACAUCAUUAUUCAAAUAGUUUUAUGACCAGAAAAAAGUGGUUUGUCUGAGGAUGGAUGACAAUUGGAUGGCAGUUGAAUUUACUAGGAUAAAACAGAUGUCAAAACAGAGGGCAAUAUUCAUGUGGACAAUAAAGGAAAUAUACUUGAACUGAAAGAUUCUUAGUACUACGAUGAGACACUUAGCAACAAUCAGUAUUUAAUCACUCAGGCUGUAGCAUUAAUGCAUGCUUUAAAUAUGUCCUCCGAUUAGCACACUUAGUUACAAACAAUAUAUACAUUUGGGCUACAUUUACAAUAGGGAUAUACUUAACAUUGGCCAGAACACAUACAUGACUGACUUUCAAUACAAGCAUUUGUAGGACUCUAUUGAGCUGGUU
rnacentral:lncRNA from 13 species